GUAAAAUAUAACAGAAUUUAAUGGUGUGGAUACAGAGAGAUUACAUUGCUCAUAAUUUGGAAAAGAAAAAAAAAAAGGAUGAAAGGAUAAUUUAUUAUUUCCUCUUUAUUAAGCACUCCUUGCUGUUCAGAUCAGGUCUCAACACAAUGAUGUAGCAUUUGGGAGCAAAGAUGGAGCCCAGUAUCCCAGCACUGGAGGCCAAAAUGGAGAAGAUCUCCACAGCCGCCAUGUAUUUCCCCUUGGUGCUCAGGUAGACCGGAACAAAUGAGAUCCAAACACUACAAAACAAGAACAUGCUGAAGGUGAUGAAUUUGGCCUCAUUGAAGCUCUCAGGCAGUUUCCGGGCUAAAAAUGCUACAACAAAGCUGAGAAUGGCCAAAAAGCCCAUGUAGCCCAGGACACAGUAAAACAGGGCAACUGACCCUUCGUUGCAGCCUAGAAUGAUUUCUCUCAUCACAGACUGCAUGUCAGAAUCAGGAAAUGGGGGGGAGGUUCCUAACCAUAUAGUACAAAUGCCCACUUGGAUAAGGGAACAAGAAAUCACAAUGGAGCUUCCAAGACUUUUCCCCACCCACUUCCUCAUUCUGGAUCCUGGUUUGGUGGCUACAAAGGCCAGAACCACCAUGAUAGUCUUGGCCAGCACACAAGAAACGGUCACUGUGAAAACAAGGCCAAAAGCCAUUUGUCGGAGCAGGCAGCUCACUCUUUCUGGAGGGCUGAGGAAGAUCAAUGGGCAGAGGAAGCAGAGCAGGAGGAAAGUGAGGAGAGUGUAGGUGAGGUCCCGAUUGUUUGCUCUGACAAUGGGUGUGUCCUGAUGUUUAAUGAAGAUGGCAAGGGCUAGUAUUGUGAAGAGAAAGAGAGAAAGAGCCAACAAUGCUAAGCUCAUCCCCAGAGGCUCUUUAAAGGACAGGAAGCUGAUGGUCUUUGGAACGCAUUGUGAUUUUUUCAUGUUGGUAUAAUGAUCUUCUGGGCACACAACACAGUCAACCAUGUCUGGAAAGAAAAUAAUACAUUCAGAUUUUGGAUGUGUUGCAGAGCAACUG